rnacentral:rRNA from 1 species
UAUGAUCGGUACCCGGCCUGAGAGGGCACACGGCCACACUGGCACUGAAACACGGGCCAGACUCCUACGGGACGCAGCAGUGGGGAAUCUUGCACAAUGGGGGA